GAUCCUGGCUCAGGAUGAACGCUGGCGGCGUGCUUAACACAUGCAAGUCGAACGAAGCACUUUAAUUGAUUUCUUUCGGAAUGAAGUUUUUGUGACUGAGUGGCGGACGGGUGAGUAACGCGUGGGUAACCUGCCUCAUACAGGGGGAUAACAGUUGGAAACGACUGCUAAUACCGCAUAAGCGCACAGGAUUGCAUGAUCCAGUGUGAAAAACUCCGGUGGUAUGAGAUGGACCCGCGU
rnacentral:rRNA from 1 species